rnacentral:tRNA from 1 species
GGGGCUGUAGCUCAGCUGGCUAGAGCACCUGCUUUGCAAGCAGGGGGUCGUGGUUCGAGUCCCAGCAGCUCCA